CCCUUAACUAUUAAAAGUUUCGUUUUGGUCCCUUAACUUAUUUUUUGGUUUCAUUUUGGUCCCUUAACUCUUCCUCCGUCAACCACUUUGGUCCUUUAUGUUAGAUGAAUGUAUUAGAGUUAAGGGACCAAAACGAAACUUUUAAUAGUUAAGGGACCAAAACAAAACCAAAAAAUAAGUUAAGGGACUAAAUGAGUAAUUAAGCCA
rnacentral:pre_miRNA from 1 species